CGGGACGUAGCUCAGUUGGCUAGAGCGCCUGGUUUGGGACCAGGAGGCCGUGGGUUCAAGUCCCCCCGUCCCGACCA
rnacentral:tRNA from 1 species